rnacentral:rRNA from 1 species
UACGGGGGGAGCAAGCGUUGUUCGGAUUUACUGGGCGUAAAGGGCGCGUAGGCGGUCGUGACAAGUCACUUGUGAAAUCUCCGGGCUUAACUCGGAAAGGUCAAGUGAUACUGUCGGACUAGAGUGCGGAAGGGGCAACUGGAAUUCUCGGUGUAGCGGUGAAAUGCGUAGAUAUCGAGAGGAACACCUGCGGCGAAGGCGGGUUGCUGGGCCGACACUGACGCUGAGGCGCGAAAGCCAGGGGAGCGAACGGG